rnacentral:rRNA from 1 species
GACGGAGGGUGCUAGCGUUGUUCGGAAUUACUGGGCGUAAAGGGCGCGUAGGCGGCCUGGUCAGUCGGAUGUGAAAGCCCGGGGCUCAACCCCGGAGCGGCAUCCGAGACGGCCAGGCUGGAGACCGGGAGAGGAGAGUGGAAUAGCCAGUGUAGAGGUGAAAUUCGUAGAUAUUGGCUGGAACACCGGUGGCGAAAGCGGCUCUCUGGCCCGGUUCUGACGCUGAGGCGCGAAAGCGUGGGGAGCAAACAGG